UCCAAGUACGUUUCGAAGUCGUCAUUCAGGCCCUGGGAAUGGGUGACCCUGGCAAGCUUGCUGGACGAUACCUGUGUCAUAAGUGUAUUUCCUAUGGCAGGUCGCAGAUGAAAAUUGUUCAGGAGAGCCAGCGCCAUUCCGGAUCUGAAAAUGCUCUGCAUGUCAGCAUUGUCUGGGAUUGCAAUAUCCUAAUCAAUCACUACCCUCUAAUGACCAACGGGUAUAUGCUCAGCACAUCAUCAUAUCACCGUUCCACACACCAUCACAUUACAAACAUCAUCACGCACCAAUUAGUAUGCGUUUCUGCUCUGAAAUGGGUACAUUUCAAUGCUGUUCACAACCAUUAAAUCACAUGUUCAAUCCACUCCUGUUCGUCUCCUCAGUCACCCGGAGACCUUGACCUACUCCUGGUCCUCUACGCCCGCCAGCGCCGCUUCGUCUGCGGUGCCGACCAGCGCCGCUUCGUCUGCGGCCCCCGCCAGCGCCGCUUCGUCUGCGGCCCCCGCCAGCGCCGCUUCGUCUGCGGUGCCGACCAGCGCCGCUUCGUCUGCGGCCCCCGCCAGCGCCGCUUCGUCUGCGGUCCCCGCCAGCGCCGCUUCGUCUGCGGUGCCGACCAGCGCCGCUUCGUCUGCGGUGCCGACCAGCGCCGCUUCGUCUGCGGUGCCGACCAGCGCCGCUUCGUCUGCGGCCCCCGCCAGCGCCGCUUCGUCUGCGGUCCCCGCCAGCGCCGCUUCGUCUGCGGUGCCGACCAGCGCCGCUUCGUCUGCGGUCCCCGCCAGCGCCGCUUCGUCUGCGGUGCCGACCAGCGCCCUUCUGCAUGGUACCUCGCCUGAUGUAGCCACGCAGGGCGGAGAGUGGAGGUGAGCUAUUACUGAUUAGUUUUGUCCAGGUAAAUUCAGAAAUAUCAUGUUCAUGCCACAUCAUCAGAGUCGCCUCACCAAUCAACAUAAUAUUUUCAGGGAUGAGGGUCCAGGGGACCCAUUUGUAUUUGUUCUCACUUCUCACCUUGUUUCUUUGUUGAAUCUGUAUCCCUUAGUCUCUUUACAAACCAAACUAUGUACUUUUUCAUGGAUAGAAUUGCUAUAUGCCAUGGGAUGUACAAAAAUGCAACUUUGUGCCUAGCUCUAGGCUAAUAAGAAGUGUAUUUCAUUAAAAUAUCAUGUUUUGUUUGUAUGUUGAAUGGUUUGCAUAUGAAGAUAAUUUCCAGCGGCUGCUAAUAUGUUAUGCAGCCCUCUCCUUUAAGUGACCAUCCCACCUUAGCAUUAGUUUUCAGUUGAGAUAGCAAGAUUGGGGUCCCUGGCGUGCAAUUACCGGUUUGGGUACUCACAACAUCGAAAAAUGCUUCAAAUCGAAAAUAUUUGAUCUCAAAGUUGCAGCACUUGGAUUCAGAAGGGCUAAUGUUUUUGAAUGUCCCCCUCUGAAUGUGUGACGUCAGCGCAGAUCUGACGAUUUUAAAAUAUUUUACUAAAACGUUUGGUAACACCUGGUGAUAUAUGCUGCAUUGCGCGCAACAUCUGCCGCACUUUAAGCAUGCCAAAUUAGGUAUUGCUUCCAAAUGACGUCGUAGGAACAGCGGAGGUCCCAAAAAGUAAAAAGUAAUACAGCAGCUGGUCACAGCUGGACCAGUGGCGUGUGUUACAUACACGCGCUUAGACAAUGUGUACACCCUUCCUAAAUCUGGUUGGUUUCUUUUCAGGGGAUUGUGUUUAUCUAUUGGUCAUCAUGCAUCAGCAGUGUGCGUCCAUCUUGUGCUCCACUGACCUAGGCGCAGUUCCAUGCUGUUCAUUGCCAUGCAGUCCCAUGUUCAAUCCACUCCUGUUCGUCUCCUCAGUCACCCGGAGACCUUGGCCUACUCCUGGUCCUCUACGCCCGCCAGCGCCUCUUCGUCUGCGGCCCCCGCCAGCGCCGCUUCGUCUGCGGUCCCCGCCAGCGCCGCUUUGUCUGCGGUGCCGACCAGCGCCCUUCUGCAUGGCACCUCGCCUGAUGUAGCCACGCAGGGCGGAGAGUCACGGAGGUGAGCUAUUACUGAUUAGUUUUGUCCAGGUAAAUUUAGAGUAAUCAUACACUCACUUUCUGUCUUUUUGUUAUUUUUGUCAUUGUGUGUCAGACAACUUCACCGAUAACACUGAUACAAUUAUUUUUAGGGAACCUGCUUCUUGUGUUCUCAACUUGUUUCUUUGUUGAAUCAUUUCUCCAUCAUUAUCU